rnacentral:rRNA from 1 species
UACGAAGGGGGCUAGCGUAGCUCGGAAUUACUGGGCGUAAAGCGCACGUAGGCGGCUUUCUAAGUCGGGGGUGAAAUCCUGGAGCUCAACUCCAGAACUGCCUUCGAUACUGGAGAGCUCGAGUCCGGGAGAGGUGAGUGGAACUGCGAGUGUAGAGGUGAAAUUCGUAGAUAUUCGCAAGAACACCAGUGGCGAAGGCGGCUCACUGGCCCGGUACUGACGCUGAGGUGCGAAAGCGUGGGGAGCAAACAGG